rnacentral:rRNA from 1 species
UACGAAGGGGGGCUAGCGUUGCUCGGAAUUACUGGGCGUAAAGGGCGCGUAGGCGGAUAUUUAAGUCGGGGGUGAAAGCCCAGGGCUCAACCCUGGAAUUGCCUUCGAUACUGGAUAUCUUGAGUUCGGGAGAGGUGAGUGGAAUGCCGAGUGUAGAGGUGAAAUUCGUAGAUAUUCGGCGGAACACCAGUGGCGAAGGCGACUCACUGGCCCGAUACUGACGCUGAGGCGCGAAAGCGUGGGGAGCAAACAGG